UACGGAGGGUGCAAGCGUUAAUCGGAAUUACUGGGCGUAAAGGGUGCGUAGGUGGUUUGGUAAGUUAUCUGUGAAAUCCCCGGGCUCAACCUGGGCAGGUCAGAUAAUACUGCUGAACUCGAGUAUGGGAGAGGGUAGUGGAAUUUCCGGUGUAGCGGUGAAAUGCGUAGAGAUCGGAAGGAACACCAGUGGCGAAGGCGGCUACCUGGCCCAAUACUGACACUGAGGCACGAAAAGCGUGGGGGAGCAAACAGG
rnacentral:rRNA from 1 species